AAAGAUGGUAGGGUCCUCGCUUCGUGGGUAAGAAGUGUGAGCAACCACAUGUGGUGGUGCUGCAGCUCAUGCAAUGGAGAUGCACAGGAGUUGAAGAGACGAUGGACAUCCAUCCUCCAUCACAUAUGUGGUGUCCAUCGAUGGGAGGAGAACGGCAGGCGAACAACACACAAAGAAGUGGUUGCAACAGGACUCUGGUGCUUACAAAGCCCUCUAUGAUGUUGUGAUGGACAAGCGGCUGAUUAAUGACCUAGAUCAUAUGGCACUGUUCAAGCACACAGGGAAACUAGAGGUCUUCCACAAUGCCCUUCUAAAGUACUGCCCAAAGUGUUUGCACUUUGAGUUCCCAACCAUGCAGGCACACACAAUGUUGGCAGUCAUGGACCACAAUGAGA